GAAGGUUGUGAUUGGAAUCCAGCUGGGUGAGGAUGGGUUGAUUCUUGCUCAGACUUCGCUCCCUGGUAGCUCUGUCUUGAAUUGGAUCCAAACCUGCUACCUACCUGUCUUGCUUCUGAAUAUUCUGGGCUCCUCUAGGAUAGGACCUAAGGGUGCUAGGUGCUGGCCAGGGUGUGCCCUAGGCUGGUUGCUGGGGCCUCACAGAACCUGUCAGACCCCUCCCGGAUUCCAUUUCCCUCCACACCCCCUGCUCCUUGUCUUGUGUGAUCUUCCCGACCUUUCUGGUACCCUUAAUCUUCCCAGGACCUUGGAGACUGAGGCAGGAGAAGUCGAGCCGGGCAGGUAGGUUUGAAGGGUUAGCCUGAGAGGCCCGGGGAAAACGGCGGCGGUUCCGAGAGGUGGGCCGCAGCUUGAGCUGCUGCGGGCCUGGCAGCCCACGUGGACAGCGGGGUUCUGGCGUGGGGGGCCUGGACCGCCUCCCAGCCUCCCUCGGAGACUGCAGGAAGAGUGACUCAUCCACACGUCCUGCCUCCAGCGCCUCUAACUCGGGCGGUUUGGUGCCGGGAAGUACAGCCAGGUUGGAGGAGGAGGCCAGGCCUGCGCUUGGGGGAGGGCCAGGACCCGCAAGCCAGAGAAUGCAAACUCUCCCUCCAAACAUCAAAUGGAUUUUCCUGGCAAACUGUUCUGGCGUGAUUGCCAGGUGCCAGCUGCUGCCGUAGA
ensembl:lncRNA